AAAGUUAAAAGCAUGACUGCUGCGACCUAGCCUUUGUUGGGGUGUUCUGUCAAAGUCCAAGACGGAGGUGGUCCUCCUUCUCUUCCCUCAAACACAGACACAGACACAAGAACAAGUUUGCAAGUCAUGAAAGCUCUAAUUUUAAUCCUCACGCUAUGCAGCUUCUCACAAGCAGCAACCUCCAUAGUCAGUCAACCCCAACCCAAAGAGUCUUUCAAGCUCAACCAAACCAAGCCACAGAAUGAUGAGGCUAGUAGUUCCUGUAGUUACACGGUGAGCAUAAAAACAAGCUGCAGUUCUCCCCCCUACACCAGAGAUUACAUCAGUCUUGCAUUUGGUGAUGCUUAUGGCUACCAGGUUCAGUUCCUACCUACGGAUACAUUUGAAAAAAAAUGAAUGAAUCCACUGCAGGUUUAUGUUCCAAGACUGGACGGUCCUCGUUCAGGAACAUUCGAGCGGUGCUCUACGGAUACAUUUGAGAUAUACGGUCCAUGUACGUACCAAACAUGUUAUCUGUAUCUAUACAGGACAGGAUACGAUGGUUGGAUGCCGGAGAAAGUGACCGUGUACAGCUAUUACUACCAGCCUGUUACAUUUUACUACAACACUUACAUACCUAAUGCUAUUUGGUAUGGCUUUGACUAUUGUAACGGUUAUUUACCCUCCACCUCAACUACUACUGCGCCGCAGUAGACACCCUUUUUAUCACUAAAUACUAUAAUCAAAUAAGUACAGGUCCACAUGUGAACCCUCAUAUGCUAUAUAGUGGACCAUCUAUUCAGUAUUCAAGUUUUUUUUUUUUUGGUCAUGAACUUUAGUCGUUACCAUGUGAUCUGUAAUUCGACGUUAGUACGUUACCAUGUGGUGAGAGACUUUUUUUUUUAUUUUUUAUUUAUAUCAUGGCGUGUUUCUUUUAUUUGGAAUCAACUCCUCUUUGUAUGCAUCGAGGAUGAUUAAAAGUUG